AGUGAACGCUGGCGGUAGGCCUAACACAUGCAAGUCGAACGGCAGCACAGUAAGAGCUUGCUCUUACGGGUGGCGAGUGGCGGACGGGUGAGGAAUACAUCGGAAUCUACUUUUUCGUGGGGGAUAACGUAGGGAAACUUACGCUAAUACCGCAUACGACCUACGGGUGAAAGCAGGGGAUCUUCGGACCUUGCGCGAUUGAAUGAGCCGAUGUCGGAUUAGCUAGUUGGCGGGGUAAAGGCCCACCAAGGCGACGAUCCGUAGCUGGUCUGAGAGGAUGAUCAGCCACACUGGAACUGAGAAACGGUCCCAACUCCCAAGGGAGGGAGGCGUGGGGAAUAUUGGACCAUGGGGGGAAGGCCGAUCCCAGCCAACCCGGUGGGUGAAAGAGGGCUUUGGGUUUGAAAAGCCCUUUGUUGGGAAAGAAAAGCAGGAGGUUAAAACCCCGCUGGUCCUACGGUACCCAAAGAAUAAGCAACGGCCAACUUCGGU
rnacentral:rRNA from 1 species